GUGAGGAAUAUUGGACAAUGGGCGCAAGCCUGAUCCAGCCAUGCCGCGUGCAGGAAGACGCAUCUAUGGUGUGUAAACUGCUUUUGUACGGGAAGAAACACUCCCUCGUGAGGGAGCUUGACGGUACCGUAAGAAUAAGGAUCGGCUAACUCCGUGCCAGCAGCCGCGGUAAUACGGAGGAUCCAAGCGUUAUCCGGCAUCAUUGGGUUUAAAGGGUCCGUAGGCGGUUUAAUAAGUCAGUGGUGAAAGCCCAUCGCUCAACGAUGGAACGGCCAUUGAUACUGUUAGACUUGAAUUACAAGGAAGUAACUAGAAUAUGUAGUGUAGCGGUGAAAUGCUUAGAUAUUACAUGGAAUACCAAUUGCGAAGGCAGGUUACUACUUGUGGAUUGACGCUGAUGGACGAAAGCGUGGGGAGCGAACAGGAUUAGAAACCCCUGUAGUCC
rnacentral:rRNA from 1 species